CUUAGCUCCGCAGCACAACUCACUUCACAGAGAAUUGUGAAACACUGAACAGGUCAGCAAGGAAUAUGCAAUAAUUUUUUCCCAUAAGUUGCUAGGAAACACUAACAACUGGGUACUUAAGAAAGCAAAAGAAGUGGCCAAGCUCGGAGGAGGACAGCAUCUGGUUGCACUUCUCUUUUCUGGGAGCUUCUCUCCGAGGGUCAGAGAUACCGCAGGAAUUGGGCAGAGGUGUACUUCAGCUUUCGAAUGCAUCGUUUGAAAACAAGAGAUGGCAUGCACUGAAGCUGGGAAAAUACCUUGCUUCAUAAAUUGAGGGGAAAAUUUGGCCUUCAUAAUGGAAAAUUCAGAGUGAAGUCCAGACUCUACUAGAGUCAGUGGAAAAACUCCCAUUGACCUUACAGGGGUCAUGGGUCUGCUUUACUUUCUAAGCUGCCACUCAGAGAGAUGGUGAGGAGAAAGCACUCUUAGUCUGUCCAUCCUGAGCCAGGAAUUAAAGAGAAUUCUUGGAUGCAGAAGCUCUGGCUUGAAAUUCCAUCUGAACAACAUUCAGAGCCCUACUACAUAAUCUCCAGCUAUUUAAGAAGAUUUCCACAGCUGGCAUCUCUAUGUCUAUUAUUAUUUCUACAUAUUGAAGUUGGUCCUCGAAUCAAUACAGCAAUAAAAAACUACAGCUGUGCCUGUGGCUUCUCCUCUCCAACCAUAAGUUCUCCCCUUCUCCAACACCAGCAUUCUUGGGAGCUGAAGCAGCAGGGAUUGAAAACAUCCAUAGACAUUCCCCAUGUUGUUUUUUGACUCCUGGAGGCAAUGGAGUGGGCAGUGAGAGCUGCAAGAGGGGCAGUAGGUCAGUGAGUAAUGAGAGCUGCAAGUGGGGCAGUGAGCCAGUGGACAAUGGGCUGGAGAGACAGUUUCCUUGAGAACCUGGCCCAUAUGUAGGCUGCCUCAUGCUCACUAAUUUUCACCUGCCCUAGCCUAGCAGGUCAGAUUCAUACAGUCUGACAUGAGCAUGAGGGUGACAAAACCACCAUGUACUUGAUGGUCAAUCAUCAAGAAUGAAAUUCCUCAGUGUUUGCCCCCCAUUAGUGAUGGUCACUGCCUAUUAGCUGUCUUUUCUGUGUAUGAAGUUGCUAUUCAGGCAAAUAACUGAAGGUAAUAAAGCCUCAAACCAGCAGAGAGGUAAGGAAAAAUAAAACUGGGAAAAAAAAUUAAGGCUGGCCUUGCUGUGACAAAUAGUCACAAGAAUAAGUGAGCUUUAUUUUUGAAAUGUCUCUAUAAACAAAGACCCCCACACUCAAGCAUUUUUAUGACUUGCAGUUUGUUUUUGCUGUUGUGCACACUAAUAAGAUAUGACUGUACCUGAACUGCCCUAAUGUUAUAAAUUUCCUGGCUGCUGGAAAGCUGGUAAACACAGCUGUUAUAAUAACAGUGUCCUCAGCAGGCAGGACAGUGAGCCUAAGCUGAGCAGCAGUUUCUCUAUCAUCCCUACCUGGAGAAUAUCUGGGAACAGCAUGGAUUACACGCAUGAGCAACCUGAUCCUGGGCCAGGGAAUUCAAAAGAUAUGAGUCAUGUCAUCACACAAUUCAGCAGUGGGCAAGGUCAAAGAUAUCAGGAUGCACUAAAAUCAGGUGCCAAACAUGCGUAAGACGAUGUCAGUAUAUAAUUUCAAAUACAGAGUGCAGCCUGAAAUAAAUUUAUUUUUAUUAUAUGUUCCUUUUGGAAAAGUGCUCCUACAGUGGAGCUUUCAAAUUGGAAAUUGCAUCUAGCACAUUAUCUAUAGUUAUUUGGCCACCCUAGUGUUGCCCCAGAGAUUACCUGAAUGAAUAGGAGUGGAAGAAUUGAUGCUAACAAUAAUUUAUAGCUACAUUUUUGUCAGUAUGAAGAGAGAAAAAUAGCACAAGUAGCACAUUGCCCAUGAAAUUAGCCAUUUUGCAGUAAUGCUUUAGUUUAAAUGGUUUGGGAAUGGAUCUGUGAGGUUUUUGCCUUGGUGAUGUAUUGGGUUUUGGGGGUAUUUUGGUUUGAUUAAUCUUACAAACUGAAAGGUGUUCGUUUAUUACUCUUUAUUGGUUCUUGACUUAAGUGUUUUGGGUGCCAUGACCUUUUCACAAAAAAUUACAAGUGAGUGAAGCAACACCCUUUGUACUGACCCUUAUCAGACCUUGAAAUGUGAGGUUUCAAGAAGCUGCAGAGGUGGCCAGUGUAUGAAAUGUAUUUAGAUUAUUUUUCACAAAGCAUAUAUCAACAAGUCUUUCAUACAGUAUUAUCCUUCAGAAUUUUGAUUUAGGAAACAUCAGGUAAGCUUUAAGUUUUUAUUAUUCUCUCUUUUUUUUUCUGCUUCCUUGUUAUGAAGACACAGUUAAAUAAUAUUCAGGAUAAAUAAAAUAAAAUCAUUGUUUCUUCUCUUUUUCUAACUCCUACCAAAUGUCCAAGCUUUUAACCAUAAACUAACUUGUGAGCUCCUACUGCAAAACUGUGAGUGCCUGAAAUCAACCUCUUAGCUGAUAAGUUGGUGUAUAAACAUCUCAUGGGUUGAUAGGACAAAAGAGCUUUUAUUUGUGUGUGCUUUGUCUAGCCUGGGUGAGCAAACAAGGUUUUCUAAUGCUGGGUAGAGCACACUUAACAGUUCAUGAUCAACUUCUUAGAAAUGUUCCAAAUAGUUUAUUAAAUACUUAAUGUGUGGUAAAAUUCAAUUAUACACUGUUUCACUGGUAACUACCCUUGCUGGUAAAAACUGUGACUUAUUUUUCCAAUUUUUUCCCCCGACUUCAAGUUCCACAACGGGAUUUUUGUCUGCUUGUUUCUUAUCAGUACAUUUAUGAGUACUAUUUUAAAUUCGUGUUUCAGACACAGUGGUGUAUUGAAUAAAAGAAGCAGAAAACACCAAUACUGGUACAUAUUUCCUCUUUGGGUUACUUUAUCCCCCAUAUGAAGUAAUCACAUAAUUUCAUACAAUUAAUUCAUUUACAUCUUCUCAGUUUCCAAAAAUAGGUGUCCUCCACUUCUCACUUUAAAUGGUAGUUCUUAUUACAGCAAGAAGCUUGCUCUGAUCUUUCACUGCUUGAGCAUAGAUGAGUCCAGAAAAUUUUCUGACUAACUUGUCCAAUUUCCAAAUGGUGAAAGAAGGUACAAGCUAGUUGUUUUUAAAAAUAAACAGACCAAUAUUUAAAAAGCACUAAGAGUCUUUCCAUUCAAUAUGUUCCCGGAACAUCGUACUAUUUCCAAUUAUCCUGCUUUUCUUCAAGCCUAGAAACAACAAAUGAAAAACAGAUGUCACGUUCUAUUGAAGGCUACUGAUGGAAUGGUAGCUGCUCUUGCUUAUUGGAAACUGUUUUAGAGUUAUUUCCCUCUCUUUUAGUUACCAUGACAAUAUUUGGCCUAAUCCCAUGGGGUUUUUUCACAUCUAAGAACACUGUGUAGGCAAGUGGAAUUAUCGUUAAAAUUAAUCCUGUUCAGAACUGAUAAGGUCUUAACAGUGCUCUUGUUUUAAAUGUUGCAUUCUUACUAUCAUUCCUUCAGGAAAAGUUACAUGGAAAAUACAAAACUGUAACUGUCUUUGAUUAUAGUAAAUUGUUCUCUGAAUAUACUAGGUUGUGCCUCAUGUUGCUAUGAAAUAUCCUUUUUGUGUUGAUAAUAUUCCACUGUCCUACAAAAGGACGAAGUUACUCUGCCAGACUUACCUAUGAAUGUGUAAAGACCAGCUCCCAAAUUUAUCUGGAUAAUAAAAAAUUUAUUCAACGUAUCUUGUAUUUAAAAAACUCAAAAACAUUCUAGAUUUGGCUUCUUUAAAAAAAAACACC